rnacentral:rRNA from 1 species
GAUGAACGCUAGCGGCAGACCUAACACAUGCAAGUCGAACGGUAACAGGUGUAGCAAUACAUGCUGACGAGUGGCGCACGGGUGCGUAACACGUAUGCAACAUACCUCUAACUGGGGAAUAGCUUCGAGAAAUCGAAAUUAAUGUCCCAUAAUAAUUUGAUCAGGCAUCUGGUUAAAUUUAAAACUCCGGUGGUUAGAGAUAGGCAUGCGUCCUAUUAGCUUGUUGGUGAGGUAACGGCUCACCAAGGCUACGAUAGGUAGGGGGCCUGAGAGGGUUAUCCCCCACACUGGUACUGAGACACGGACCAGACUCCUACGGGAGGCAGCAGUGAGGAAUAUUGGUCAAUGGUCGCAAGACUGAACCAGCCAUGCCGCGUGCAGGAUGAAGGCCCUAUGGGUUGUAAACUGCUUUUAUCUGGGAAUAAACCCCUUUACGUGUAAAGGGCUGAAGGUACCAGAUGAAUAAGGACCGGCUAACUUCGUGCCAGCAGCCGCCGUAACAC